UGAAAACAUAAUAAAGUAAUUACUUCAUGAUUGGAUAUAGUAAUUUUGUAUAGUUACUUUUCAUUUAGUGUCUCCGUUGAUCUGGAACCACUCUUAACACAAAAGUCCACCACUGUUACUGUAUAAGAGGUCAAAAAAAUAGAACUAAGGAAUUCCUUUUGCAACCAUUAGCUUGCAUCACUCUUGUCAAAUAAUUGAGAAUGAAAUCUAAAACUUCUGUGCAAGCAACACAUUCUAAUUCACAGUUUUCAAAGUAAUGGCAAAUGGUUAGCAUAGAGAAAAAAAAUUAUCAUUCGUUGAGAAUGUUUUCCAGCAGAUUCAGGUUAAAGUUGGAUGCAAUUUUAUCCUCGUCCUCUCAUAUAAAGAGCAAAGGGCAAUCAUUGUAAUUGAACCAAUUACGUGAUAUUUCCUUCAUUCCAAAAUUCUAAGCAUCAUAGAGAGUGCAAAUAAGUUGGGAAGGGAAAGUCAGGGCACUGAUUAGCAAGUCUACAAUCAUGAUUAUUAAUCCAUUAAAAACCCAGCGCAAAGUAUUGCAAUGUAGAGAAAGAGCACUUAGAAAACAAUAAUUAAGUUCUAUCACCGUGUGGAAACCAGAUUUGCUAAAACUGUCUAUUAUAUUUCAACAAGUCUGGAAUUUUGGCUCAAACCAAACACAGUUUUGACCUAAGCCAAAUCAGGAAAACUUUCUCCUUUCCCAACGAUCCAAAAUCUAAAUCGGUCCUAAAAUUUCAAUGUCAUGAUUAGAGCAUUAAAAUCCCAGCCUUCAUAUAGAAAUACAAAUACCAUUCUCAAUCUCCAAUGCUCAUAAACAAUUUAUUGCAAAAAAAAAAAAAACUAGCCAUAAACAAAAUCCAACAGUUAGUGAAUAAUCAAACCUCAGUUUCGUUUGGAGGAGGAGGCAUAGCUGUCUUCAAGAAGGUCAUCAUAAGGAUCCCUGCGGCCGGGAGCUUGGCUAAUCUGAGCAUCCCUAAAGAGCUGGGAAUUGUGGCGUUCAAAAGUCCAAAAUCCAUAAGGUCGCAGAGGAUAACUCCACAUCUCUUUGGUUUUUUGGCAUCGAUCCUUCCUCAUGUAAAGGCGCUCCCUAAAUUUUUUAUCCCUCUCCUUUGGGUCCUCCAUCAUCCUCAAUAUCAAAUUCUCUGCAAAUUCCAUUAUGAAACCCAUUUUCUUCUCUUCUCUUCUCUUCAAGAGUUGAAACCCUAAGUUUAACAAACAACUCAAUAAAAAAUAUACAUCAAAGCUGAAGCCAAAAAAAAAUCAUUGUCUAAUUUAAUACUGUAAUUAAUCAAAUCGAAUGGCUACAUGAUGAUUUAAAAAAUGAGUAAGAGAGAUAACCUGUUUGGAGAUCAACAGGCCAGUAGCAGUCUUCAAUUUGCCAAGGAAAGACAAAGAAUGGCCAAUGUAUGAUACGCGCAGAGAAAUUAGAGAGCCAAACUUGGGCUAAGCCUCAAGAACUCUGGAUGUUGUUGUGACUAAUCAGGCCUAGAUUCUUCAGAUAGUGGGAGGUUUUGAUUGGAUCAGAUUAAAAGGUUGAACUAAGCUCUCUGGACCUUAACAUGGGCUAAGGCCCCAAAAUAGUACAUUGUUUAUAAUAUUCAGGCCCUUUCAACUUUUAGUGUUAACAUAAAAAAAAUAGCCCUUAAACUUUUUUUUUUCUAUUUUGAUUUUUUAUUAUUAAUAUAUAAUAAAUUAAUAACGUGUCUAAAAUAAUUUGCUAUCGAGAGUAAGUCCUCGUUUGAAUUCCACCGCAAUUGUGAUAUGAUUAAUUUUAUCAUACUUUUAGUUGAAUCAAAAUGCUAACUUUAAUGAAAUCAAGUUAAUAUAAAUUUGUCAUUAAAUUUUUUUUCAAUUAUAACUAUAAUAACUUUUUUUUUUUCAAUUACAAUUACAAUAAAUUUUAUUAUUGUUUUCAAUUUCAUCGUCCAUCCAAAUGGAGCUUAAGUCUCAAUGGCUUAAAGAUGUAAUGUGCCAAAGCAUUUGCAAACUAAAGCGUACAGGUUUCACUCACUUCCGCUAGGGGAUGAAAGACAAGAAUUUACCUUUUUUUCAGCAUUACAAUGAAUUUACAUUGGAUAUCUUCUAAUCAUGUACAUAAACAUAUACAGAAAAUUCGCCAUAUAGAUAACACUUAUCAUAGUUGGAGUGAAGAAGGGAACAGCAAUAAUCACAGAAAUAACAAGGAUUCUCCCUCGCCCACUUUUCAUCUGCACUUACUUUUGUACCUCAUUAAUCUUACAUACAUUUGCAUUUCUCAACACGUGGUUUUAGUUGAAAGAUGAUUAUUGGAUAAGCUGCUCCAUUUUGUACAUCCUCUGGAUGAAUCAACCAUGUCCCUAAUCACGGUUGUUUGUUUGCAGUCACCCUGCACCAGGUGAUUUCAUCAUACAAAAUAUUAAUACAAAAAUUGAAUUGAAUAGAAGAUGGUGCAUAACAAGCAUCAUACAGCAUUAUCAUUACCUCAUGCCAAAAUGAAAUUCAUGAUUCUCAGAAAAAACAAAUUGAUAAGAUGGAUACCUCUACUUUUGAAGUUAUUGUAAAAUGAGGGAGCAUAAAAAGCUAUAGCUGGUGACAAUAUAGAUAUCCAGCACCGAGUUGAAACCUCAAGUCACAAAACCGUGUCUUGUACAUGUCAACAGCUUUGAAGUGGGGCAAUCUUGAAGAUGUUACACUGCCGAAAAUUGCUUUGUGCUUUUGUUCCAGCUCACCAGCAAUGAUCCUUUCCCAUUUUUUAAGAGCAUCAUCCCUCGAGUUUUUAAGCCAAUCAAAUAUAGGUUUACUAUAAUCUAUAGCAGAGGGAUCUUUCAAUCAUUCAAAAACAUACCCUACAGAAAUAGAGCAGUCAAUUAGAUACUAUAAUAACAAAAAUGUUUCACCACAGGAAUGAAGUGAAUGAACAGGGUUUCUUACUUCGAUAAGGAAAUAACCAGAAGGAUCAUGCAGGCCAGCCUUCUGCAUCAGCUGGUCUGUCAAGCAAUAUAUCUUGUCCUUGAGUUCAGACAAGGUUUGGCAGUCCAGGACCAAAAACUCUUGGAUCUGCAAAAAUCCAAGAAGAUGUCAAUAUCACCAGAUGGAAGGGGCAAAAGAACAAAUGGUAAAAGGAAUAAUACUGUAAAAGUCGAAUGUUAGCAGCAUUAUAUACUAUACUAAGAGAACUUAAUUUUCGAUGGUUCUUAUAUGUGCUAGGUAGGUAUUUUCAUGCAUAUAAUAAAACAUUAUAGAUUUCAUCUACUGAAACUAUCAGAAAUUCAAGCAAGCAGAAGUUCAUGAUCUUGAUGGCUCAUAACUCAUAAGUAACAAAUAUAAGUGAUUAUAAAAAAAGAAAAAUAAAAAUCCAAUACAAACAACUCAUGGAUUUAGAACAUAGAGGCAAAGCACCAUACCUUUGACCAUUUUUGUAUGUUAUGGUAGACCUCAACACAUAGAACAACUUCUGGGUAUAACACUGGUAUGUGCUCCUUAACAUCCCAUGACUUUACCUGUCACUCAUCCAAAGGAAACAAGAAAGAUUACUUAAGUAUCAUGUAAAAUAAAAACACUACACCGAAGCUUCAGUGCUAUGAAAUGAGUGCCUCAGCACCUCUUAAAGAUUCUCAUCCUUGUAUUAUCUUAAAUCACCAGGCAGGAAGGAAAUUUUAUUCAAACUGUAUGGGUAGGCAUCUAAAGUUUUGAAUUAGAACACAAGUGGAAUUUAUCAUCAAUUCAAAUUCAUCUCUUACAGUAACAAAGUUAUUAUAAGAAUAUCAAUGUGCUGAAUUCCAACCCACAAACUCUUUUUAUUGAGAAAGUUCUAUUAAAAUUCAAUUCGUUUGAGUACUUAGCAGUGGAUGUCAUCUAAUGACAUAGAUAAUAUAUUGUCAAGCGUUCUAGAGUUAUCAAAGUAUUAAACAAGUCAACAGCAAAAUAGAGUCAGAAUAAAGAAAUGCUUUCUAGGACAAAGGUCGAUACAAGUAAAAUCUUAAAGCACCCACAUCCUCAAUUUCAGAUUCUCAAAGUUAAAUUAUAAAACCAUUCGCAAUAAAUACACUAAGAGAAUGUUUCAGGCGAACCUUUCUAGACAAAUUCUGAGACCAGAGGGAUUUCAUCCUUUCAUUUUUAUCGGAGAUUGGUAUGGCACAAUCAUUGAUCUUGCUGAUGGCAGUGAACCAAAUUUAUAAAAAAUAAUCAGCAAGAAUCAGAAAAGAUUUAUAAAUUAAAGAAUGCCGCAGACAGAUCUCAAUACAAACUUCAAAGAAUGCAACCCUGCUGUUGCUUUGUCUUCAUCCUACUUUUGUUUAAUUUUUGCAAGUUGCUCCACCUUUUUUAUAUACAUAUUCUGGAAAAACAACAGCAACAACUUUUUUACUUUGUUAAGAAGGAAAGCGAACAGAGAUUAUGAGAUAUGUUUGUGAUGGUUCUUUUAUUCUUACAAGCAAUCCACUUUUAAAGCAUAUACUAGCCAAUAAAGCAAUUGAUGCAAAAACAGUUUAAAUUUAGACUUUACACAGAAGAAAAAAAAUGCAAAUCAUCAAGCAAGUAAAUUAAACAUUUAGCAAGAAUGGUAAACAUUUAGAAUUUCAAAACAUCAAAUUCUCAAAUUUCAACGUAAUUAAAAUAAGAAUAGAAUAAUAAACUGUAACAAUCAAAUCUGAUUAUAUCAUAAUACUUUAAAUAAAAAAUUCAAUCUGAUCACUACCGUAUGUCAACAAGACAAUUAUUUUCUUUCCUUAUCUUUCGCUUCUUCAAGGCAUUCUUCUUUUCCAUUGCAUCUCCUUCCAAAUCAGUAUCACAAGGACUCCCAUUUGUGGACUCCAUUGAAGUUGAAGUAUUCCGUACUCCAGUGCUCUCUACAAGUGCAAGUUUGUUUCCUGACUUUCUACGAUCACUGUUGUAUAAAUUGUACAGGUGAGUAAAACUAAAGCUGAAAGUGGAUUGAUAUAGCUCUAAAAAACAUGAAGAUCGAUAUCUAUAGCCAAGAAAUAAAGAAAUAACAUAAGGUAAGGGCUUACUCAAGGAUAAAGGAAGACGUAGGAAAUAAGUAUAGAAAUCCCAAGAUCAGAAAUAUAUUUGAAGAAUGCCAAAAGCAUUUUUUUUUUUUUUUAUUAUGAGCUGUAUUCCAGAUCAACUAAAAAGGCCAAGAUGAUUGACAAGAAAUUAAACGUAUAGCUCACCCCAAAUUGGAGCCGUUUUCUAAACGUUGAACAUUAUUUCCAAUAUGCUCAUCCUCCUGCAACGAAACCCAUAAUUAAAAUUUGAAAACAAACUAAACUAGAGCAAUACUACUAUACCCGUGGUAGUUACUUGACUCUAGCCUUCAUUAUAAUAGCAUCACAUACCUUAAAAGCUUCCUUGAGAGCCAUUUCUGCUAACUCUUCCUCCUUAAGAAUUUUAAGGUCAUCAACACUGACAAGUGUAUAAAUUAAUAGUAAAAAUGAAUCAAAAUCAUAAGAUUGGCAAAAAUGAGAAGAGAAUGCAUUGUUUUAAGAACGAAGAUACAAAAUUAAAAAUUUAAACCAGCACUGAAAAAAAUAAUAAUAAAAGGAGUGGAAUUGAAGAAGGAUACAGUAAUACUAACCAAAUACCCUCAGCAUCAGUUAGUUGAGCUGAAAUCAAUUCAGCCUCUAAUUCCUAAACAAAACCAAAAAAAAAAAAAAAUUAUACUGAAAACCAUAAAGGGCAACGAGAUGAGAAGUAACUGUGAAGGCUAAAGGAGAAACUGAAAAAAAAAAAAAAAAGUAACCGAUAGCAGAGAACUGUAAAAGAUAUGAUUUUGGAAGAGAAAGUUGGUAAUCCAAAUGUAAAAGAAUUUAGUACCGGAGUUCGUAAAGAGGUGAGUAUUGAAACUCAGGUACGGUGGUGAGAGUACUUAUGUGAUUCGGAAUAUAAAUGGGGCCACCCUUUGGGGUUGAGCAGUGUGCUUCCUCUUCUACCUUGUUCCAAUUCGCUACCGUUCUUUUUUCCUUCAAGCUUCUUUUUUCUUCUAAUUGUUUAAAAAAAAGAGGGGUGGGGGAGGAAUCAAUGUUCAAAAAUAAAUAAAUAAAUAAAUAAGAGAAGUAAUAAAGAAGUUAAAAAAAUAGGAAAUCCAACGAAAUUGGAUAAUGCAUGUGGAAACUGAAUAGAUUAAGAAAGUGUGAAACAAAGAGAGGGGCCAACAGAAAGGAAAAACGGAGGCAUGGGCAGUGCGGUUGGGUGGCUUCGGCCUAUUUUUUUGGUUCAAUUAAGGUUGACGAAGAAGGCCCCAAGUGAUCCAAACCAGAUGAACUACAUUACUAGUUUAGAUUGUGACCCAAUAGUUGUUUGAUUUGGACCCAAAUAUGUUAGUAGGGGCAGUCAGGCAGAAACAUAAACCCAACUAUCAACUCUGCCGUCAAAGUAACCUGUCUAGUUUAGUCCAGCUCACCGCACAAACCCUAUGUCUAGUUUAUAAUAAUAAGGACCUCAUGCAAAACUACAUUUACUAGUACGCGUAUUGAUGAAAUAAAACUUGAAAUCCCUUAAAUAAAAUCUGAAACUUUUUGUGCCAAUAAAAGUCCCAAUCAGCUUAAGCAAAUGAGUAUCGAUUUAACUGUUAAAUGCAACACCUUUAAGCUAUUCAAAAUUAGGGUUUCCACAAUCCCCUAAUUUCAAAACUUUGUAUCAUAGAAAUCUAAUAUAUAAAUAACAAACAGACCAAAACGAAAUGAUAUAUUAAGAGCUAGGAAAAACGAAGUUUAAAAGAGAGAGGAAGUGUUAAUGUUGGGUUGUUUACUUUGUAGGGCCUAUGCCUUGGCAAGGCCUUAUAGAUUCUAUUCCUUUAGUUAAGUAUAGAUAGGAAGAAGAGUGUUAUAAUAUAUCGAUUUAUAGAUCUAUUAUUAGAUAUUUAUUAAAAAAGUUAUUAUCAAAUUUUUUUUGUUUAAGUGUGAUUGAUCACUUAAUAAAAUCCGUUUCAUUUAAAAAUAAGUCUCAAGAUUGAUUUAGUUAUCUUUUAAUAAUAAAUUCUUAUCCACGAAACCAAAUUUAAGGUUCAGAGUAUAAUUACAUGUGAAAAUUAUUAUAAUACCCUUAUAACGCCUAUCAAAAGGAUAAUAUCAGUUUGAUUUCAAAUUAUCCAAACUUUAAAAUAUUUUUAUAAUUUUACUAAAUUAUUUAAUUAUUGGAAACCAAUCUUAAAUUUGCUCCAAUAGUUUGAUAAUAAUUUAAAAUAAUUUUCUCACCUCGAGUAUUCAUGAAGAUCAAUGUCUCACUCUGAAGAAGUUUCGUCGUCGGGUUCAUUAAUAUAUUUUUAUUCAAGAAAAUAAUUAUUAAAAUCUCUCAAUAAUUUGAUAAGAUUUACUUUGAUGCAGAUUUUUUAAUAGUUUAGUGAGAUUUCUUUAUAAAUUUAUUUUUAGAAAAUGAAUUAAAUCUCCUUAUAGUUUGGUAAGACUUAAUUUAAUAUGCAAAUUCUCCAAUAAUUUGAUAUGAUCAAAAAAAAUAUUUUAUUAGCAAUAAUUUUUUAUGAUAAUUGAUUUAUGAGAUUUUCCAAUAGUUUGAUAAAAUUUAUAAAAAAAUUUAAAUUCAUGAAAUAUUCUCCAAUAGUUUAGUAAGAUUUAUGAAUUUUUUUUAAAACAUUUUUUUGUUAUUAUUUUUUAUAAAAAUAAAUAAGUAAAAUAAAAUUUGUAAAGGUAAAAAAAAAAAAUAUUGUUCAACUUAAAAUAAGAAUAAUAAUAAUAAUAAUAAUAAUAAUAAUAAUAAUAAUAAUAUGUAAAAUAAAAGAAAUCUAAAAAUAAAUAAAAAUGAAAACGAAAAAUAAAAUGAAAAAAAAAAAAGAAAACUUAUAAAACAUGUUGGACCUGGAAACGGGUCACGCAUGGAUUUUCAUAGGUUAUGUGGAACCUCUUAUACAAAAUGAUGUCGUUUUCUGUGGGUAUAGAAGCCCAAUUUUCAAGCUUUCCUUUAAUUUGUCUUAAACAUUUUCUCUCUAAUUUUUUUUUUGUUUUAUUUCUCUAAAAUCACAAGUUUCAAUUACCAAAAAGUGGGUUUAAUCAUCGAUUUUUUGAAAACUCACUAGAAUUUGACCAAAAACUUCAACUUUGGCCAAAAACUUCAAUCGAAAAAUUCAAAUGUUAUUCCCAAACCCAGAUUUUUAGAUUUUUUUAGAAAAAAUAAUUUUUCUAAAUAAAACCAGUAAUCAAAUCCUUAUGAUACGUAACCCUAGAAGCAAUUUUCACAUAAAAAAAAAACUCAUAACUGCAAAAAUCUAUUAGCAAAAAAAAUUUUCAUCAUGUUAAAAGCCUUUUUUUCUCUCCCCUCUCUGUGUGAUUUAGGGUGAUCUUUAUAGGCUUUUUUAAUCAAAAUUUUAGGGCUUUAAUUGAAUAGAUCAAAUCUGCCAUAUUUGAUUAGAAUUUUAUUAAUUAAGAAAAAAUCAAUCCUGUCAAAUUUAAUCUCAUUUACUACAUGAUUUGAUUCAGAGCUUUGAUUGUAAUUAACAUAUAAUUUUGUUUCCAAUUUUUAGCUUCUUACAGGAUUGACCAAAAAACUUGAUUUCAUUUCCUUUUUUUUUUUUUAAGGUUUUUAUAAAAUAGAUAAAACAAAAAAAAUAAAAAUAAAAUAAAUAAAUAAAUUACUAGGUGAUAGCCUAUAUUAAAGUAACCCGAACAAAAAAAAGCCUUUAGUAGUUGGGCUCAAAAUCUAAAUUACCUAUUAGAGUAGGCUUAGUCGAAACCUAAAAGGUUCGAUAGACGUUUCAAAGGCCUAACUAUCCUGACAAUCAAAAAUUUUGUGCAAACCUAGACGAAAAAGGGUGUCUACAGCUAUCCCUAUUUGUAUAUUUCUAUUAAAUAUGAAUGAUGUAAAGAUAAGGACAACCAUUAAGUCCGAUCCAAGAACCUUCUAAACAGAGGCAUGCAUUUUAAAAAAAAAAAUUUUAAUUCCUCUAAACAGAGGCUAAACAAUUUUAAAACGAGAAUAUGUUCCUUUAAACAAAAGCCAAACAAAUUUAAAAUGAGAAUGGGCUCCUUUAUUCAGAGGUUAAACAAUUUUAAAAAUAAGAAAUAGGCUUAUUUAUUCAGAAGCUAAAUAACUUUAAAAUAGGGAACAGACUUCUCUGAGCAAAGGCUAAACAACUUUAAAAUAAGAAAUAGACUCAUUUAUUUAAAGGCUAAAUAACUUUAAAAUAGGAAAUGAGCUCUUUCAUUCAAAGGCUAAACAACUUUAAAAUAGCCUUUUAACCAGAGGCGAGGAUUUAGAAUAGCCUACCUCGAUGAUCCUUUCUCCGUCAUGAUCAAAAUCUUUGCAUUCAUUUUCUUUAUGUUGGAUUUAGGAUGUUAUUAUAUAGAAUGAAUGUCCAUGAAUGCAAUACAUGUAGUGCAAAUGAAUUAUCAAUUAUGGUACACAGAUCCUUAAGAUUUUUUUUUUAUUCGAACCCUUCAUGUCUUCAACAAUAGGAAUAAAAUCAACUCCAUUCUCAAAAUUGACAUUCGUAUUUUGGAAUAAAAGUUUGUACCGGGUUUUGAAAGUUUUAUCUCUUGCCUACAUACCUUUCACCUCUUUUAAUGUAAUACAUAAUAGUCUAUGAUAUUAAUCAAUUAUCAACCGUUAUCCCAAGUUUAUGACAUAUAAGAUACAAAUCACACAUUUCUCUUAUUUAUUGCAAAGCAUUUAAAAAGAAAAUGCAUAAAUUGAAAGUGAAAUAUAAAUAAUGAACAUUUUUAUUUGAAAAAGAAAGUAGGUUACAAAUGAUGACCAUUUGGGAUAAUUUUGUUAAUUGGAUAUAGUAAAGGUAAACAAGGAUUAUUGUUUGGGACAACAAUGCUCCAAAAUAAACAUUCAAAUAAUCAUGAUAACAAAUCCCAUAUUCUUUCUAAAAACUCAAUCAUGCCAUGCCCUCAGUACUUUAGAAUUCUUUGAAACAUACUCGUUUUCAUUUCAGACUUCAUGAUCCUCAAACAAUAUUGUACUCAUCUUAUCUAAAUCAUUUUUUUAGGUUUUCAACUUAGAUAAACCCCUAUUUAGUACAAAUCGUCCUUUCGGAUUUUUUAUUUAAAGUACUUUUUUGUAGUAUCAAAAUUUAUGGGAUUAAAAAAAUCAUCUCCAUCUAUCUCUGUUAAGAUCAAUGCUUCUCUUGAAAAAACCCUUUUUACAACAUACGACCUUUCCUAAUUUGGUGUCCACUUUUUUUUGUUAUCAUGUUAGUUUGAAAGAAUUCUUUUUAGAACCAACUUUUCUUCUCGGAAUUAGUGAGGUCAAACCUUUUUAUCAUGAGCUCUCAUCAUUUUUUUUUUGGUAUAGUUGACCAUGAUAUAAGGCUACCAAUCUCUUGUCUUCAAUGAAAUUCAGUUACUUAUAACAGUCUUAAACCCAUUUAGUUUUUUCUAUCCCUACUUCUCGUAAAACCCUCAGAGAUAAAAUUUUUAUUGGUAAUACAACCUUCAUUCUAUAAACGAAAGAAAAUGAAGUUGCCUUAGUAGAAAUGUGUAUUAUCGUUCGAUAAGCAUGUAAAGCAAAAGGUAAUUUUUCAUGCUAAUCUUUAUACAUCUUAAUCAUUUUCUCCAAAGUCUUUUUUAUAUUCUUAUUUAUAGCUUCUACUGCUUCAUUCAUCUUUGGACGAUAUGGUGCUGAAUUUUAAACUUAGCACAUAUUUUUAUAUCAUAUUGUUAUUCAAAUUCUUAGCAUUAUCUGAGAUAAUCCUCUCAGAGAGUCCAUAUCUGCAUAUUAUCUUUCUCUUGUUAAACUUGUAAACUACUGAUCACGUCACACUUGCAUACCUCAACCCAUUUUGUGAAAUAAUCAAUCAUCACAAAAUUGAAUUCAUUCCCAUUUAAUGCUUUUAGAGUAAUAGGCCCAAUGACAUCUAUACCUCACACAGAUAACGACUAAAAUGGUGUCAAAAUAUGUAAAGCAGUAAGCGAAACAUGUAUCUUGUCAGUACAUAUAUAACAUUUAUAACACUUUUGAACAUAAUCAAUGUAAUCAGCUUUCAUUGUUAACCACUAAUAUCUAACUCUCAUAAUCUAUCUCGUCAUUAUGUUUUCAUUUGCAUAUGCUUCACACACUCCAUCAUGCACAUCUUCAAUAAUUUUUUUUGCUUCAGUUACAUCUACACAUCAUAAUAACACCUGAUCUUUACUUCUUUUAUAAAGAACCUCUCCAUUUAAGAAAAAUCUCAUAGCCAAUCUCCUUAAGACUCUUUUAUCACUUUUUGUUGCCAGAUCUGAGUAUUGUUGACUCUUUAAAUAUUGUAGGAUAUCAUGAUACUAAGGCUUUCCAUCUUUUUCCUCUUCCAUAUUGGUGCAAUGUAUUAGCAUGUCUUUAACAUUUAGCUUGCUGGGCUGAAUCUCAAUAUUGUUAUCAACCCGAAUCAUCGCAACCAAAGUGGCCAAGGCAUCUGCAAUUUAAUUUUUUCAUGAGACAAAUGUUCAAAUUGGACUACUUCGACCUGCUUGUGCAAUUCCAAAAUGUACUUAUGAUUUAGGAUAAGUUUCGAAUAUCCUAUCUCUCAUUAUCUCUUCAAUUGAUAGAUAACUAAUGUUAAAUCCUCGAACACUUUCAGUGUUUUAAUUUUUUUAUUUAAAGCAACUUGUAAACCCAUAACACAAGCCUCAUAUUCAACCACAUUAUUGGUGCAAUUGAAGUUUAACCUUGCUGUGACAUGAUAAUAACGUCCCUCAAGAGAUAUUAGAAUUGCCUUAGUUUAUGCCCCAAGGCAUUAACAGCCCCAUCAAAGUACAUUCUCCAUGACUUCUCAUUAUCUUAUUUCUCUAAUUUUGAAACAACCAUUAACUCUUCAUCUGAAAAAUCAAAUUUUAUUGGCUUAUAGCUUUCAAAAGCACGUUCUGUAAAGAAUUCUACGAUGACACUUCCUUUAAUUGCCUUUUGACUCAUGUACAUAAUGUCGUACUCUGAGAGCAUUACUUGUCACCUUGCAAUCCUUCCUAAUAAUGAUGGUUUCUCAAAAAUGUACUUAAUUGGGUCUAGUUUAGCUAUAAAUAAAGUGGUAUGGUAAAGCAUAUACUGCCUGAGCCAAUUAGCUGUCCAAGACAAUAUACAACAUAUUUUCUCUAAUAAUGAAUACUUUGACUCAUAUUCUAUGAACUUUUUACUUAAAUAGUAGAUUACUUUUUCUUUUCUACUAGAGUCAUUUUAUUACCCAAACACAUAUCCCAUCGACUUCUCAUAUAUAAUUAAAUACAGAAUUAAUGGUCUCUUUAGAAUAUGUGAUACUAGCACUAAUAGGUAUUGCUUAACCUUAUCAAAAGCUUCUUGACAUUCUCCAUUCCUUUCACGAGGGCUGUUCUUUUGAAGGAGCUUAAAGAUAAGGUCACAUUUGAAGGUCAGUUGGGAAAUGAAUCUAAAAAUGUAGUUCAAUCUACCUCAAAAACCUCGGACUUCUUUUGGCAUACUUGGAGGAGAUAAAUUUUGGAUAUCCCUUAUUUUGUCUGGAUCAACUUCAAUUUUCUUUCACUAACCACGAAGCCUAGCAACUUCCCCAACUUGGCUCUGAAUGAAUAUUUGGAUGGAUUUAACUUGAGCUAAAAAUUUUUAGCCUCUCAAACAAUUUUCUAAGGUUAGCUAUAUGGUCUUCUCUUUCACGAGACUUUAUGAUCAUAUUAUCUACAUACACCUCGAUCUCUUUAUGCAUUAUGUCAUGAAAGAGUAUCACCAUAGUCCUUUAAUAUAUUGUUUUAGCAUUUUUUAAUCCAAAGGUCAUGACCUUGUAAUAAAAUGUACCCAUAUAGUUACAAAUGUGAUUUUUUCCAUUUCAUCUUGUGCCAUUUUUAUUUGAUUAUAACCUAAAAAUCCAUCCAUAAAAGAAAACACAAAAUGUUGGACUGUAUUAUCCACCAAUGUAUCAAAAUGAGGUAGAGAAAAAUUAUCUUUCGAGUUAGCCCUAUUCAAAUCAUGAUAAUCUACACAUAAUUGUACCUUUUUAUCUUUCUUAGGAAUAGGUACUACAUUAGCCACCCACUUAGGAUAUUUGGCCAUUUGUAGAAAUCCUGCUUCACACUGUUUCUUCACUUUCUCUUUGAUCUUCAAGAGUAUCUCAGGUUUUAUCCUACUUAAUUUUGUUGAACAAGCCUACAUUCGGGCUUAAAGGGUAGCUUAUGUUCUACUAUUUCAGUAUUAAGCCCUGGUAUAUCCUGAUAAGACUAGGCAAACAUAUUUACAAAUUCUCAAAGUAGAUUCUUUAACCUUUGUUUAUCAGUAAAUGAAAGCAACAUGCCAAUCUUAACUUCCUUUUUGUUCUCAUUAUCCCUUAAAUUGAUCUUCUUAAUAGUUUCCUAAUGGGGCUCAAUAGAUAUAUUCUCAUAUUCAAUCAGUCUCAUUAGAUUCGAAAAUAAAGUAUAUUCUUCAUAGUCAUAUUUCUCCGUUUAUUAGGAAGCAACCACAGGGAUGUGUCUACAUGCGGUGUCCUCCACUCUAUUGGUUCAGAUCUCACACGCGUGAGGGGACGAUCUGACAUAAACCAAAAUGGUUCAAUCAGGAGUGAACAGACAAUCUCGAAGACCAGGGAUAAUGGAAACACCCCCAUCAGCAGGGCUGAUGCUAGUGCCAAAUUGAAAUCAUUCUUGUUUCCUACUUCAUAGCAAGUUUUUACUCUGAUUUGACAAGUAUUUUACAGAGUGACUAAGAGGUUUCCCUUGUAAUUAUCAGCCAGUUGUUUCAAGAGAGAGCUUUGUCCUAGGAGGUGAGAACAUUAGAGUGAAUGAAAACUGCGAUGAGCUAGACACUGUCGUGUAUAGUAGACAAUCCCACAAUAAGCAAGGCAGGAAAGCAAGCAUGGUAUGCUUUAAAUCCAUUGUAGUUUACUGACUGCAUGAAGCUCCAGCAGUGGUUAAAAUUCUACGCUUCCUCGUACGUUGGCUCUUACCAUUUUUAUUCUUUGGCAGGUGAAGGAGCCUAUACUUCAGUACAUGAAGCGCCAGAAAUCUCAGGUUGUUUGAAAGGCAUGAGGAAUGUGAUGCUAAUGCGUGAACCAAACUCAAAAUUGCUUGGUGAAUUUCCUUAAUAAGCAAAUCAUAGACAAGUUACUUCCUUUUUUUCAGAUAAGUAAUAAUUUCAUUAUCCAAGAAUUAGUAAGUCACUGCUGCCAAAUGACAGUUACAGAAGCAUCAAAUGCAACAAUUCAGGAAAUUACUAUGCAAACAUAUAGUUACUUAGACACCAUCUCUCACGUGCCUCCUUAUUAAUAUGAUGGAAAGCACCAUUCUUUAAUCCGGCCAAUCUCAUUCUGACAACAUCCUAGAUCCAUCCUAGAUCUGCCUCAAAACCAGCUCUCGUCAGCCUUUUAUUCCUUUCCUGCCAGAUCAGAUAAAUGUAAGCCCCCCAAGUCAAACGCAAUAGAACAGAUACUAGUGCCUUUACUCGAAGUCUGCCAACAGCCCAUCGAAGUUCAUCUUCCCAAUCAGCUACUUCCUUAUGCAGGUUGCAAAGAUGCAGAAUUGAACUUGCUGCCAUACAAACUUAGAAUAUCUGCAACUGAAGAAAAUGUGAUUCCUAUUCUCCAUCUCCUGCCUGCAUAAAACACAAUCCCCAUCAGUAGAAAUCCCCCAAGAGAUCAGCCUAACCUUAGUAGGGAACCUAUUAAGGAUGGUCAUCCACGCAAUGAUAGCAUGCUUGGGAAAAUGAAGUUUGCACCUGAUAAGCCUGUGCCAGCAACCUUCAUCUGCUUAGGCCGUAGCUCAUCCCAGACGAUGACAGUGGAGUAGCCAGAGCCAUAAGUGGUUCGAACUACUCCAUUCUGUCUGUUGCAAGAAUCUGGAAGCAAUGUUCCUUAUCUGAAAAUCACUUUUUCUCUUGUUGAAUUUCAUUAAUUGAUUCUGCUAUUUUCUGAAUUGAAAUUUAUAAUUCUGGCUUUUUCCGAAAUCCUCUCGUUUCCUUCAAUUUUCUGAUGUAACGAUUAAUUGAAAUAACUGCAGGUAGAUGAGGCUGCACACAAAUUUUAUGAGCAUGCACCACCAGCAGCUAAGCAAGUGGUAAGCCAAGCCCAAGAUUUGGUUCACAAGGCAGCACAAAAGGCUCAGAAACUAAUAGACGAGGCUCGAACCAAUGGACCGCGAGGAGCUUUGCACUACGCUGCAGCAGAGUACAAUCAGUUUCUUCUCGUGAACUUAACCAAGUUGUGGGUUAAACUGAAUCACACCUCAGCUUUCCACUCGGUGGCAGAGAAGGUUGUUCCUACAGCUGCUAAUUUGUCUGAGUUUUACUGUUUUGGGCAUGUAGAGGCAAUGUGGAUGUUAUAAAUGGCUGGCCAUUGUAAAUUGUAUGCUUAUGUUAACUCUUUGCAACGUUCAUCUUCCAAUGGUUUCACAUUAUUCCUGCAUCGAUGAAAACAUAAUAAAGUAAUUACUUCAAGAUUGGAUACAGUAAUUUGUAUGUUUACUUUUCAUUUAGUGUCUCCGUUGAUCUGGAACCACUCUUCUAAGGAAUUCGUUUUGCAACCAUUAGUUUGCAUCACUCUUUGUUAAAUAAUUGAGAAUGACAUCUAAAACUUCUGUGGAAGCAAUACAUUCUAAUUCACAGUUUUCAAAGAAUAAUGGCAAAUGGUUAGCAUAGAGAAAAAAAAAUUAUCAUUUCUUGAGAAUGUUUUUCAGCAGAUUCAGGUUAAAGCUGGAUGCAAUUUUCUACUCGUCCUCUCAUAUAAAGAGCAAAAGGCAGCCUUUGAAAUUGAACUAAUUACAUGACAUUUCCUUCAUUCCAAAAUUCUAAGCAUCAUAGAGAGUGCAAAUAAGUUGGGAAGGGAAAGUCAGGAUACUGAUUAGCAAGUCUACAAUCAUGAUUAUUAAUCCAUUAAAAACCCAGUGCAAAGUAUUGCAAUGUAGAGAAAGAGCACUUCGAAAACGAUAAUUAAGUUCUAUCACUGUGUGGAAACCAGAUUUGCUAAAACUGUCUAUUAUAUUUCAAUAAGCCUGGAAUUUUGGUUCAAACCAAACAGAGUUUUGACUUAAGCCAAAUCAAUAAAACUUUCUCCGUCCCAACGAUCUAAAAUCUAAAUCGGUCCUAAAAUGUCAAUGUCAUGAUUAGAGCAUUAAAAUCCCAGCCUUCAUAUAGAAAUACAAAAACCAUUCUCAUUCUCCAAUGGCUCAUAAACAAUUUAUUGCAAAAAAAAAAAAAAAAACUAGCCACACACAAAAUCCAACAGCUAGUGAAUAAUCAAAACUCCGUUUCGUUUGGAGGAGGAGGCAUAGCUGUCCUCAAGAAGGUCAUCAUAAGGAUCCCUGCGGCCGGGAGCUUGGCUAAUCUGAGCAUCCCUAAAGAGCUGGGAAUUGUGGCGCUCAAAAGUCCAAAAUCCAUAAGGUCGCAGAGGAUAACUCCACAUCUCUUUGGUUUUUUGGCAUCGAUCCUUCCUCAUGUAAAGGCGCUCCCUAAAUUUUUUAUCCCUCUCCUUUGGGUCCUCCAUCAUCCUCAAUACCAA
rnacentral:lncRNA from 1 species